GUGCGUGAAACUGAACACUGCAAAGCGAAUAUCUGUGCACUGCUACGAUACGGUUAGCUGUCUUCGACGCUUGGCGCCACCGGCUGAGGCAUCAGGAUGGCUUUCCGUCCUGGUGUUCCAUGUCACAUGCUCGCGAUUCGCCCAUGCGGAGUUGUACUUGCCACCGUGUAAUUCUUGGCUGCUUGGCAGGUUAACAAGCUGGAGGACGUUGGGCGGAGAGGGAUGCGUCGCGCAGCCCCCUGCGCUAAUGGCGUUUAAAUUGAUCGUGCGUUGGCCAUUGUACGCCUGCGUGGCUGUCCCAUCGUGCUUGCCUGCUGUUACUAGUGUCGCGCGUGCCAGGUGUCGGUGUGCGGUUCGUGUGUUCAUAGGCGCCGAUGUCGAUCUUGUCACCGGUUGCCAGUGUGGACUCCACUACCGCUGACUGACGGCUUGCGACCGAGGCAGCUGAUGUGUGCUCAGUGUUCGAACCGUCUUGAAACACGGACUAAGGAGUUCAACUUGAACGCAAGUCGUCUUCACGUGAGAAUUUUGAAGGCGAAGUGAAAUCGAUCCAUCCAAGGAUGUCAACUGGUCGCAAUUACACGCUACUGCUGUAAGAGCGACGCGAGCCUACGUUAUGGGUAACACAACUGAUACAGUUGUUGACUGCACAUGAGCGUUCAAGAUGAGACCCGAAAGAUGGUGAACUAUGCCCGAGUAGAACGAAGCCAGGAGAAAUCCUGGUGGAAGUUCGCAGCGGUUUUGACGUGCAAAUCAAUCGUAAGACUUGGGUAUAGGGGCGAAAGACUAAUCGAACCGUCUAGUUGCUGGUUCCCUCCGAAGUUUCCCUCAGGAAAGCUGGCGUGUCUUAGUUUUACCCGGUAAAGCUAAUGACUGGAGGUAUCGGAGUUGUAAUAUCUUUGACCUACUUUCAAACUUAAAACGGAUAAGACAUUGAUCGCUGCUUUAACGAGCGACAAUUGCAAAUUUCACGCGCCGAGUGGGCCAUUUUUGGUAAGCAGAUCGGGCGCUGUGGGAUGAACUGAACGACGAGCUAUGGCGCCAGACACACUUCUCAGAAGACACCAUGAAAGGUGUUAGUUGAUAAUGACAGCAGGACGGUGGCCAUGGAAGUCGGUAUCCGCUAAGGAGUGUGUAACGACUCACCUGCCGAAUCAACUAGCCCUGAAAAUGGAUGGCGCUGUAGACGUGGGCCUAUGCUCGGCCAUUGAGCUGUCCUGCGCGUAUGCACUGGACGUGUGAAAGCCUCUCGGUGAGUAGGAGGGCGAAGGCGUUGACUCAGAAGCGUGCGGUGUGAACCGGCGUGGAGUCGGCGGUCUUGCAGAUCUUAGUGGCAGUAGCGAGUAUUCAAUAUAAACGUUUGAAGACUGAAGUGGAGAAGGGUUCCAUGUGAACCUCGUUUGAACAUGGCUCAGCCGAUCCUAAGAGUGUGCGAAAUUUUGUGAAAUAAUGUGGGACGUUCUUGCGUCCAUUCAAUUAAAAGGGAAUCGGGCUAAGCUUCCCGAGCCAGGAGACGGAUUAUGAUGGCUUUUUUACGAACAAGUGACAGAAGCGGUAACGCUCGCAAACCCAGAGAGUGCCAUGCGAUGCCCGGGGGAGAGUUCUCUCUUCUUUGUUAGGCAAGCUUACCCUGAAAGCGCUUUUUUCGGAGACAGGGUUUAACUGCCGUAUUGCGGAGUGACUUUUGCGCCGCACCGUGUGCAUUGUGUGGCCCGUAAAAAUCUGGGGGCGCAGAUAUUUGUCUUGUUCCUGAUCGUACCCAGUUCCGCAUCAGGUCUCCAAGGUAUAUAGCCUCUAGUUUAUGGGAUAAAGUAGGCAAGGGAAGUCGGCAAGUCAGAUCUGUACCCUUGGAAAAAGGAUUGGCUCUGAAGGCUGAGUUGAUCGGGGCUGUUGCCGAAAGGGGGCGGAUUCGCUUGGGGGCUGGUCGACGGCUUGCCUCGUAGGAGGUCGGCUCCAGAUCAGGCUCUCGCGUGUUCUGUCUUACGGACGGCUCCAGCUUGUCAGUGCGCGGUGCUCCUAGUAGUACCGCGUGCGCAAAUCGGUCAACGGCGAACAGCCACAUCAGAACUGGUACGGACAAGGGGAAUCCGACUGUCUAAUUAAAACAGAGCAUUGCGAUAGCCGUUGCCGGUUUUGACGCAAUGUGAUUUCUGCCCAGUGCUCAGACUGUUAACGUGGCGAGAUCUAAAUAAGCGCGGGUAAACGGCGGGAGUAACUAUGACUCUCUCGAGGUAGCCAAAUGCCUCGUCAUCUAAUUAAUGACGCGCAUGAAUGGAUCAAUGAGAUUCCCACUGUCCCUGUCUACAACCCAGCGAAACCACAGCCAAGGGAACGGGCUUGGGAUGAGACGGCGGGGAAAGAAGACCCUGUUGAGCUUGACUCUAGUCAGUUUUUGUGAAGAAACGUGAAAGAUAUAGGAUACGUGGGACCUUCGGGGUCAUUGAAAUACCACUGCUUUCAUUGUUACUUGACUAACUCGAUUACCUUGUUGGCGAAGUUGCUUAUUGCUAUCACACAUGUAUUUCUUGGUUCAGUGCAUGAGAACGUUAUUAUUCGAGAACUCUGGCAGAUUGGGAGUUUGACUGGGGCGGUACAUCUACUAAAGUCUAACGCAGGUGUCCAAAAGUAAUCUCAGCGAGAACAGAAGCCUCGCGAGGCGUAAAAGGGCAAAAGUUUGCUUGAUCUUGACUUCCAGUUGGGGUAUGGACGAUGAAAGUUCGGCCUAUUGAUCCUUUUGAAUUUUACGGAUUUUGAGCAAGAGGUGUCAGAAAAGUUACCACAGGGAUAACUGGCUUGUGG
rnacentral:rRNA from 1 species